AGUACCUAAUGAAUAGUACUAGCACUUAAUGGAAAAGAUACUAGUAUCUAAAAAUAAGUACUAGUACCAUAAAAAUAGAUCCUAGUACGGCUUAUAGAUUAAAUGUUAAAACGGCUUUCCAUACACUGGGCGUUACCAAAGAGAACUUUGGUUUUAUGAGACCGGUUUAUAGCCUACAUUGAGCUAAUUCAGCCGAAGCCUUUCAGAUACAGUAUCAUCAUGUAUACCGCGCUUUUGUUUCUUGCUUUGUUCUCGUGCUUUUCUCUCAUAGCGGGAAAGUCGCUUGAAGCAGGUGAAGCGUGUGUUGGGAUUCAGAGAGAAGAUUCCUAUGACUUUGAGCUGCCCAACGCUGUAGCGGUGAACGUGCAAGACCCUGCGUGUGAUGCGGAGUGGACCAUUGACCAAUUCACAGCAUUCCUGGAUGGAAAUUCAACUCACUGUCCUCAUCCCUUCAAAAAAGUGACUCGUCGGGGGAUCAGUGUGUCUUACUGUCCAGCUUCAGUCAAAUUCCACGUCUCUUGUCCAAUAUACACCAAAGUCCUCACAUGUUGUUGCACAAAUUCCACCAAAAAUCCAGUUUAUAACACAACCCUGCCAUCUGGAGAUAUGUCUUCCUCUGCCAUCAAAACUGAUUCAUCAGUGAGGAUACACUAUUGUGCCAUUGCUGUUGCUGUCACGUUUGCCUUAACCCUCGUCAUCUUGGCUUUCCUCAUCUGCAGGACAAACAGCAGUGCAAAAUAUGCUCCUACAAGAGCCUCAGCUGAUGGACAAAACCAGCCUUGUUCAGUAUAAUUAUCCUAAGGAGGCAUCUGAACUUGCACUAGAAACACAUGGCGUGGAGUCAUGACAACACAUUAUCCGAUAAUGUAACAUGUAUUAUAUUAUAUUAUAUUAUAUUAUAUUAUAUUAUAUUAUAUUAUAUUAUAUUAUAUUAGAGAAAACAUAAGCACUAAAUGAAACAGUAAAAUAUCUGAAUUUUACUAUAUAUAUAUAUAUAUAUAUAUAUAUAUAUAUAUAUAUAAUAAAUAUACUAAAUAAAAAUUUAAUUAUAUUAUAUUAUAUAUUUAUUAUAUUAUGAAAGCUAAUAUAAAGUUUAUAACUUUGUAUUUCCUCCCAGAAUUUACAAUAGCUCCCUGUCUCUGUUACAUGAGGUUUACCACAUGAGGUCACUGUCUACAAAGUUUGUAUCAUUUCAUGUUAUGGCGCUAGCGUUCAUCUGUUAGCCCUCAAGUCUCGUGUUGCUCACGUCACAGCUGUAAAUAGUUGCUUGUAGUUCUGGGCAUUCUUAUAGGGAUUUUCUUAGUUAUUUCAGGUUUUUCCAUCCUUGUAGCUCUUAUUUAGCCUUUGUGUUAUAGGAUACUCUGAAAUUGCCAUUAAACCCAUGACUAUUUCUCAAGUCUUUGAAUCUGUCGAGUCACAAGCAAUUCAAAACUAUAAUGCCAACGCUUGGAUUUGUGAACGUGUGUUUAAACAAGAUGUGCUUUCAGUCAUUUCUUUGAAUUGACGAUAACACGAGACUCAGCAAGCGCUUUUUUAUGUUGAAUUUCGACCUUGGGUUGAUUAGCUUAAAAAAUAUAGCGUAGUAAACAAAUAAAAUCUCACUUACCGGUGGACAACAGCUUUACAUGCCAUCUGUCUCGGUGUUAGGCAGAGUCAGUGAGUCACCGCUUGCCAUGACGCGUUGGUAAAUGGAGUAAAUUAUAUGAUCAUUUCAUCAUAAAUGAUAUCAUCCAACUCAGCUCACUGAGAAGUGAGCCCAUAAACGGAGAUGUUUAUUUAUUUAUUUAUUUGCAUAAAACUACUAUAUUCAAAUCACACAAAUGAGCACAAUCAAGUUUAAACAUCGCGUUAGCACAAAUUCUAAGUGUAUGUUGCUUGGCAACGGAAUGCGUAACGCACGUCAACAUCAGGUGCCUGGAGACACUGGCGCAGAGACGCAUAGAUGGCGGAGAGAAACACUCUGGAGAAGCUCGAUUUGGGCGCUUUAAGCCUCGAGCAGCAGGAGAAGCUGCACCAGUUCAAGGUCAAGACGCGGAUAGCUAAUGAAAAAUAUUUAAGGUCUCAUCCAGAGGUGGAAAUGUUACUCAGUGACUUCUUAAGGGAUGUGUUUCUGAAAAGGCCUACAGAUAUUCGUGAAUUUGCAGCAGAUCAUUUCAGUGACCCAGGACUGCCAAAGAAAAUUCAGGAGCAAAUGAAUAUCCAUAAUAAGUGAAAAAUGGAUUUAUAGUGUUUUGUAAUAAAAGAGAGAAAAAUGAUGCAAUGUGUGUCAGUCUUGAUCCCUACAUAUGCAUGAAAGCAUCUUUGUUGUAUACUGUUAUUAGCAACCAUUAGUGUGCAGGUAUCAGGGGAGAGGACAGUCCAGGCUUGUUUGCUAAAUGAGUCCACAGAGAAGAAAGGCAAAUUAAGCUGAAUUGAACAGGUCUUUCUAUUCUGUUAAAGGGAUACUCCACCCUAAAAUGAAAAUGUUGUCAUUAAUCACUUACCCCAAUGUCGUUCCAAACCGGUAAAAGCUUUGUUCAUCUUCGGAACACAAUUUAAGAUAUUUUAGAUGAAACAUACAGCGUCAUACUUACUAUUGUUUCCAC
ensembl:lncRNA